GACGAACCGAGCGAACGUUGUUCGGAAUCACUGGGCUUAAAGGGCGCGUAGGCGGGGUCAUAAGUCUGUGGUGAAAUCCUCCGGCUCAACCGGAGAACUGCCUCGGAUACUGUGGCUCUCGAGGGUGGUAGGGGUAUGCGGAACUAUCGGUGGAGCGGUGAAAUGCGUUGAUAUCGAUAGGAACUCCGGUGGCGAAGGCGGCAUACUGGACCACUUCUGACGCUGAGGAGCGAAAGCGUGGGGAGCAAACAGG
rnacentral:rRNA from 1 species